rnacentral:tRNA from 1 species
GAUGGACCCUAGAAAGUCCUCUAAACAC